rnacentral:lncRNA from 1 species
AUGACAAACCCGAUUAUUAUAGAUUAAAUAUAUUGCCAAUACAACUCUGAUUUAAUCCUGAACAUAGACAGAGUUACCGUAUAUAUACAUAGAACAAUAACAAAAAAAUGAAUAUCAGAACUAAGUUGAUCACGUAUUUCAAAAUAGUAUCCAUUCGGAAAGGCAUUUGGUCUUCUGUCCGGUCUGUACCUGUGUGAUGUUGUUCAUUGGUUAUGUUAGGAUGAUGUGGCCUGUUUAUAUUUCUCCUCGAAAACAUGGUGGUUCUUGAAAUAUCACCAAUCCAAUAGUUUUGUAAAUGGUAUAUCAGGU